GCGUAUACGCUCUUUUUAAAGAUUAAGCCAUGCACGUGCUAUAGUUCAUACAUUUAAAAUGUGAGACUGCGGACGGCUCAGUAUAUCAGUUAUAAUCUGUUCGAUUGUAAAGGUUAUUGGAUAACCGUGGGAAAUCUAGAGCUAAUACAUGUAGGGUUCCGUGUUUCGGCACGGAUUGCAUUUAUUAGAGAAAUACCAACGGUGUGAGCAAUCGCACGUGGUGAAUCUAGAUAACUGUGCAGAUCGCAUGACCUCGAGUCGGCGACAUUUCGAUUGAAUUUCUGCCCUAUCAACUGUUGUUGGGAGUGUAGUGGACUCCCAAGGUUUUAACGGGUAACGGGGAAUCAGGGUUCGAUUCCGGAGAGGGAGCCUGAGAAACGGCUACCACAUCCAAGGAAGGCAGCAGGCGCGCAAAUUACCCAAUCCAGACAGUGGGAGGUGGUGACGAAAAGUACCGAAUGGCGGCCUAUGGCUGUCAGUUUGGAAUGAAAACAAUUUAAGUAAUUGAAUUGAGUAACGACUGGAGGGCAAGUCUGGUGCCAGCAGCCGCGGUAAUUCCAGCUCCAGUAGCGUAUCUCAAAGUUGCUGCGCUUAAAACGCUCGUAGUUGGAUCACUCACUGCGCGUUGGUGGAUCUCGACCGAGUCGCUGUCAACCCGCUGUGUUCGGGUGUCGUGUUCUCGCGGCAUUCUGAAGCAGUGGGAGCGAUCGGUGGAGGUUAUAAGUCGACGCGUAGUAAUUGCACGUGGGGAUGGCCGUUGACCUUUGGUGCGUCGAGGGUCGUGUCUCACGGGGUGUGCCUUGAGUAAAUCAGAGUGCUUAACGCAGGCGUGAUGCUUGAAUGUUUGUAGCAUGGAACGAACAAUCGUGUAUGGUGUGUGUUGAUAUCGAGUGGUUUCGGUUCUGCCGACGACUCGCAACACACGACACCGACCGCCAAUUACGGAUGUUGGUUCCGUAUUGGGGUACCGAUUAAGAGGAGCGGUUGGGGGCAUUGGUAUUUGGCAGCGAGAGGUGAAAUUCUUGGACCUGCCAAGGACUAACAAACAAA
rnacentral:rRNA from 1 species